UCUACCUACCAUGAUUAUCCACAAAUUUGAACACAACCAAAGGCAGGCUACGUACUACACAACAACUAGAUCAGCUAGAUCAUCAUAAUACACCGCUAGAGCUUUACUAGGUUUGAAAAGAUUAAGAUCGACUGAAAUUGCCACUUUUUCCCUUGUUGCGGCUGCAAGAUCUGCCAACUCGGCUCCAAGAUCUGAAUCACACAAAGAGAAUGCAGCGAAGAAGAUGAGAAAGAAUAGCAAUCAAUGCUUUUGUUCAAGUGCUUAACUAUUGAUUUUGUUCUUACCUAGUGCCUCCCUCAUGUAUCGAGCCUUUUGUCCUAGCUGGAAUAUAUAUGGAUAUCUUUUUCUCUACAUACAGAUGCCAAAAUUCCAUGCUAUGUACUUCCUUGAUCCAUAUCGAUGGCUCUGCAAUCAAAAGAAGAAACCACAAAUCCUAAUUACAAAGACAUGAUUAGUGACCGAGAUUUGUAGAUCUGGUACCAUUUUUGGUAGGUGAUGAUGAUGAAGAGAAACCGCGAGAUUGGCGAUUUCCAAUCGAUCUCCCUCCACGGUAACACUGUACAAUUCUUCUAUCAACAGAUCACUCGUGAAAAAAACGAGAAUCAGAUAUUCGGCGUACGUACCUUGGCAACGAAGGGUCUCAGAUUCUGCAUGAUCCAAGAAUUAAUUAGGUGGUUUGUUAGUG
rnacentral:lncRNA from 1 species